rnacentral:rRNA from 1 species
AUUGAACGCUGGCGGCAGGCCUAACACAUGCAAGUCGAACGAGUGGCGGACGGGUGAGUAAUGUCUGGGAAACUGCCUGAUGGAGGGGGCUAACUACUGGAAACGGUAGCUAAUACCGCAUACCAUCAGAUGUGCCCAGAUGGGCUUAGCUAGUUGGUGGGGGAACGACUCACCAGGGCGACGACCCCUAGCUGGUCUGAGAGGUUGACCAGCGAAACUGGAACGGAGAGACGGAGCAGGCUCCUACGGGAGGCAGCAGUGGGGAAUAUUGGACAUUGGGAGAAAGCCUAAUCCAGCCAUGCCGCGUGUGUGAGGAAGGUCUUCGGAUUUUAAAGCACUUUUAGUUGGGAGGCGUUACCAACAGAAGAAGCACCGGCUAACUCCGUGCCAGCAGCCGCGGUAAUUC